rnacentral:rRNA from 1 species
GUCCACGCCGUAAACGAUGAGUGCUAGGUGUCACGGGCUUUGACCCUCGUGGUGCCGUAGCUAACGCAAUAAGCACUCCGCCUGGGGAGUACGGCCGCAAGGCUAAAACUCAAAGGAAUUGACGGGGGCCCGCACAAGCGGUGGAGCAUGUGGUUUAAUUCGACGCGACGCGCAGAACCUUACCUGGGCUAGAAAACACAGGAACCCGGGUGAAAACUCGGGGUGCUCUUCGGAGAAUCUGUGGUUAGGUGUUGCAUGGCUGUCGU